rnacentral:sRNA from 1 species
UCUUGUUUCUUCUUUUGAU